rnacentral:rRNA from 1 species
CGGCGGACGGGUGAGUAACGCGUGGGUAACCUGCCUCAUACAGGGGGAUAACAGUUGGAAACGGCUGCUAAUACCGCAUAAGCGCACAGUACCGCAUGGUACCGUGUGAAAAACUCCGGUGGUAUGAGAUGGACCCGCGUCUGAUUAGCUAGUUGGUGGGGUAACGGCCUACCAAGGCGACGAUCAGUAGCCGACCUGAGAGGGUGACCGGCCACAUUGGGACUGAGACACGGCCCAA